rnacentral:rRNA from 1 species
ACGAACGCUGGCGGCGUGGAUUAGGCAUGCAAGUCGAACGAGGGAGCAUUCCGAAAGGGAUGCAAACCGAGUGGCGUAAGGGUGAGUAAUGCAUUGAUAACCUACCUCCAAGAUGGGAAUAACAACGUUCCAAGCAAUUGGGGCUACCGAAAGGGUUGCUAAUACUCAAUAAAAUUAUUGUUGCUUCGGCAAUAAUAGUCAAAUAGGCGGAAUCGAAAGGUUCCGCUUGCUUGAAGAGGGGUCAAUGUCCUAUCAGCUAGUUGGUGGGGUAAUAGCCCACCAAGGCGAAGACGGGUAGCCGGCCUGAGAGGGUGGUCGGCCACACUGGGACUGAGAUACUGCCCAGACUCCUACGGGAGGCUGCAGUCGAGAAUCUUUCGCAAUGCCCGAAAGGGUGACGAAGCGACGCCGCGUGCGGGAGGAAGGCCUUCGGGUUGUAAACCGCUGUCGGGAGUUAAGAAAUGCAAGGAUGUUAAUAGCGUUCUUGCUUGACUAAGGCUCCGGAGGAAGCCACGGCUAACUCUGUGCCAGCAGCCGCGGUAAUACAGAGGCGGCAAGCGUUGUUCGGAAUUAUUGGGCGUAAAGAGCACGUAGGCGGCUGUGUAAGUCGGUUGUGAAAGCCUUCCGCUCAACGGAAGAACGGCAUCCGAUACUGCAUAGCUUGAGUGUGGGAGGGGAGAGUGGAACUUCUGGUGGAGCGGUGAAAUGCGUAGAUAUCAGAAGGAACACCGGCGGCGAAGGCGACUCUCU